GCCACGGUGGUCCAGCGGUUAGAACGCUGGCCUUGUAAUCCUGGGGUCUCGGGUUCGAUUCUCGGCGGUGCCC
rnacentral:tRNA from 1 species